GAAAUUUUAAGUUAAGGAAAACUGUGGGUUUUCAAAGCCUAUAAUAGUAUCAAAUUUUACUAAAUUUUG
rnacentral:tRNA from 1 species